ACGGGUUGUUGCUGGCUGGGGUGAGCUGAGCGCUGCAGGGCGUCAGAGUGGAGAUCCUGAGGCGGAGGCACGCCGGCCGCUCUUUCCUGGUCCCUGCAGUCUUUUCCAAGCGCGGCUGUGUUGUUUCACGUCAACCGCCGCUUUCCCCCACCACCACGGGUUGCAAGAGGUCAGAGCACCCCUACGCAGCAGCCCCGCACCCGGGCAGGUGAGGGGGUCCGGACUGAGAACAGAGCCGGUUCCUGCGAACCGACAGAGCCCGGAGAGAUCCCCCGAGCUGGGAGCCGACAGGCCGCGACAAGCCGAGAUGAGAUCGCGCAAAACCGGACCGUCUCGCACCCCUGCCUCCAAGCCAGAUGGGGCAGUGCGGAGCAGCUCCUGGGGCUCUGUACUCCUGGGUAGAAGGUGGUUGUUUCACCGCUGCUGUAGGGCUCCCGGAGGCCAACAGCUCUACACGUUCAGGUUUUGCCAAGUCUCUCCUGGGCAAAGUCCAGGUGGAAACAAACUUGACUGCUCAAUGUGCUCAAUUUCGUCUUCAAGGCAGAACAUGAAAUUCAGCUAAAAUAAACUACCCUUGUUUAGAGAAGCCUCUGGAACAUUUGGAACCAGUUACUGCUGAAAGGUCCACACUGUGUAUGAAGGCAGAACCUUGUAGCAUACAAGCAAAAAAAAAAUGUAAAUGGUCCUUUGGU